CAUCAAUAAGGACUGCCACACAAUACAUAAAAAAACAAUCAAGACAACAACCUUCCAAACAGCAGCCCAGCUUCCACCACACCUCCCAGUCUUCAAUUCAGGCAGGAACCAUUAAUCAGAAGAAGAAGUAUCACCUUCACCUUCAUCUUCAUCUUCAGAACACUCAGAGCUUCCAGAGCUGCCACUGGAUUGUGCUUUUUCAUCUGAAUCCUUACCAGUCUUCUCUUUUUCCAGCCUACAAAUAAGAGCUUCCAAAGCUUCUUU
rnacentral:lncRNA from 1 species